rnacentral:rRNA from 1 species
AUGGGCGUCACGCUGGAGGAGUGCAGGGCGUUGUGCUUCGCCAACUGCUCGUGCUUGACCUACGCCGGCGCCGACAUCAGUGGAGGCGGCGAUGGUUCAGGCUGCGUCAUGUGGAUGGAUGCCAUCCUUGAUCUACGUCUCGUUGACAUGGGGCAGAAUCUCUACAUGAGGUUGUCAAAAUCAGAACUUGGUAUGUACAGAAUCUCUACGCUCUAA